GACGAACGCUGGCGGCGUGCUUAACACAUGCAAGUCGAGCGAGGUCCAUGCAGUGGCAACACUGCGGAAGACCUAGCGGCGAACGGGUGAGUAACACGUGAGCAACCUGCCCCGAAGACUGGGAUAACACCGGGAAACCGGUGCUAAUACCGGAUGUCCUUCUCUGGUCGCAUGGCCUAAGAAGGAAAGGAAUUUUGCUUCGGGAGGGGCUCGCGGGCUAUCAGCUUGNGGUGAGGUAACGGCUCACCAAGGCGACGACGGCUAGCUGGUCUGAGAGGACGACCAGCCACACUGGGACUGAGACACGGCCCAGACUCCUACGGGAGGCAGCAGUGGGAAUUUUGGACAAUGGGGGCAACCCUGAUCCAGCCAUGCCGCGUGAGGGAAGAAGG
rnacentral:rRNA from 1 species